UAGAGCAUAUGCACUGUGAAGUGGAUUAUUGUUGUUAUAAUUUGAGCUGGUGGUGUUGUUUUUAUUCAAAUAGUUUCAUAUUGAAGGCUCUACGUACCAAUGUAAGCUAAGGGCUCUUAAAAAAAUAAACAAAUAAAAUAAAAAAAAGUGAAAAAAAGAGAAGAAAAAUUCAGUUGAGCCCAAUAUGUACGUGUGAUAUUUAUGUAUCUUGAUUGAGUAACUCGAGUUAGUAAAUCCGUAGGGGUAGCUUAAAACCUAGUACCUUGGGCCAAUUGGACCGGGAGCCACUGGUUGAAAGCUCGCUACAUGGGUUAUAUAUGACAUUAAGAGUCAUGAAACACUUUAAAAAAAAAAUUAAAUAAAUAAAUCAUGGAGAUUCAAUACUGAUGAGAUAAGAUAAGAUAUCAUAUUUUGUUUGUGGUGUUGAAUACUUUGCUCUACUAGUCUUAAAAUCUUUAUCACCACUCUUAAAUACUACCUGAACCUCACUCUACCGUAGGCCCAUCACAUCCUUAAUUUAAGUCCUAAUGAUCUUCUGAGUUAUUCUGCCACCUUGUUGAUUGAAACUAGGCUGUGAUUGUUUUAAGAGUUGGAAUUUGGCUUUACAAACUCAUAAAAAUGAUUUUCCUUCGAUCUGCAUAUGUACUUGACUUGAAGCUGUUAUUGAGCUAAGUGGAGUAAUUGUAACAUGUCAGGUUGCAUAUUGUUAUAUCAAGAGUCUAGCUCCUUUGUAACUUCAUGUCUUUGCUUGAAGACAAGCAAAAUUAUAAGCUUGGGGGAGUUUGAUAGGAUCGUUAAAGAAAGAAGAUUAUGGUAGCAAAAUGCAUUUGACCACUGCUCGGAUCAAAAGAAGCAUAGCUCACAAGACUGAAGUAAGUCACAUAUUUUAAGCCCAAUGAUGUUUGACUACAAAUAACCACGUGGGCCUUGAGGUACACCAAAGAGUUUCAGUCACUGUUCUUGCGAGUAAGGUACAAAUAAACCCUUGAGCGAUUUUUGUGGGAAAUCAAAUUGUCAAGCAAGAAAAGAUAGAGAUGGAAUCGGCUGAGGAUGGGAGCGAAAUACUCAGAGUAGCUGAGAUGAAUAAAAUGCUUCUUAUCUUUCUGUUAGGGGAUUAUCAUAGUUAUAUUUUGGGGAAUUUUCUGGGCGAGGUUCAGAGGGGUAAAAUUGAUGAACUUCAUCUGAAUUUGGCGAAGUAUCUAGCAGGGGAUAAGCAAGAUGGACUAGUCGAGGCAACUCGAUUCAGCUUAUGUUUACUCUGAUUCUUACUAGAAGAUUUGGUACUGUAUUUAUGUUUUCAUUUUCUUUUCAUUCGAUUUCAGCCUUAGUUUAUCUUAGAAUAGUAGUAGUAUAAGUUUUGCUUUGGAGAAUAAAAAUGAAAGUUAGUGCUUUCACUUUGUUAUUUUGCUCAUGAAUGCGUCAGUACUAGCUCUUAUGCAAUUUGCUAUAUUAAUUUAAUUCGGCUA